CAAGAAACGAGGCCGCGUGCGCUCGCCCGCCCGGCCCCGCUCCUUACCUUGCCUACUGCACCGUUUGUUGCUUCCUGGCGGCGGACUGCCCGCCGCCAGGGACGUUGAUACAGCCCUGUAUAGAAGCAUUGAAGCUCCUGAGAAAACGCGAAAUCGUA
rnacentral:misc_RNA from 1 species